rnacentral:tRNA from 1 species
AGCUGGAAUAGCUCAGUCGGUAGAGCACUUCACUCGUAAUGAAGGGGUCGAGAGUUCAAGUCUCUUUUCCAGCUU